rnacentral:sRNA from 1 species
GUGGCGGGGCUUGCUGGGAUCAUGGCGGAGAAUCACUGCGAGCUCCUGUCGCCGGCCCGGGGCGGCAUCGGGGCGGGGCUGGGGGGCGGCCUGUGCCGCCGCUGCAGCGCUGGGCUCAGCGCCCUGGCCCAGCGCCCCGGCAGCGUGUCCAAGUGGGUCCGACUCAACGUCGGCGGCACCUACUUCCUCACCACUCGGCAGACCCUGUGCCGGGACCCGAAAUCCUUCCUGUACCGCUUAUGCCAGGCCGAUCCCGACCUGGACUCAGACAAGGAUGAAACAGGCGCCUAUUUAAUCGACAGAGACCCCACCUACUUUGGGCCUGUGCUGAACUACCUGAGACAUGGCAAGCUGGUGAUUAACAAAGACCUCGCAGAGGAAGGUGGCUGGGUGUUGUCCUGAGCUGCCAUGUGCCAUAUGUGGGUUCCUCUGGGGUCCUGGAGGCAUGAAGACCACCCAUGAGGAAGCCCUGAGGCAGGACCUGUG